rnacentral:rRNA from 1 species
UACGUAGGGUGCGAGCGUUAAUCGGAAUUACUGGGCGUAAAGCGUGCGCAGGCGGUUUUGUAAGCCAGAUGUGAAAUCCCCGGGCUUAACCUGGGAAUGGCGAUGGUGACUGCAAGGCUAGAGUUUGGCAGAGGGGGGUAGAAUUCCACGUGUAGCAGUGAAAUGCGUAGAGAUGUGGAGGAACACCGAUGGCGAAGGCAGCCCCCUGGGUCAAAACUGACGCUCAUGCACGAAAGCGUGGGGAGCAAACAGG